rnacentral:rRNA from 1 species
UACAGAGGGUGCGAGCGUUAAUCGGAAUUACUGGGCGUAAAGCGCGCGUAGGCGGCUUUGCAAGUCGGGUGUGAAAUCCCCAGGCUUAACCUGGGAACUGCAUUCGAGACUGCAUUGCUAGAGUAUGGGAGAGGGAAGUGGAAUUUCCGGUGUAGCGGUGAAAUGCGUAGAUAUCGGAAGGAACACCGGUGGCGAAGGCGGCUUCCUGGACAGUAACUGACGCUGAGACGCGAAAGCGUGGGGAGCAAACAGG